rnacentral:rRNA from 1 species
AUGGGGCACGCCACCGUCUGCCUGGCCUCCCUGCUGCUCGCCGUCACCUUUCUACUUGUCUCCGCCGCCACGGAGUCGCUCACGGCCGUGCAGACGGACCAGGCGGCCACUAAGAGCGGGUCCUCCCCGCCGGUGCACUGCUGCAAACAGGAGGAGGAAGCGGUGGCCAACCCAGCCCAGCCUGUCGGCGGUCUUGCGGACUUGGCAUCCGCGGAGGAGCAAGGUCAGAAGCCCGACUCUCACCGGAGUAACAAAAAGAAGAUUGACGACGACGGCGACGACGACGACGAUGAUGAUAAUGAUGAUGGCAACGACGACGAUGACGACGACAACGGCCAAUCCCACUCGGACCACGACUCUGACCAUGAUGACGAUGAUGACAACUCAAACGGCAGGAAGAAGAAGCCCUCAGCAGCUCCAGAGAAGAAGGGAGUCUUGGGAGGUAACCGAGUUUCACAAAGAAGGAAUACCAAACGGAGUCCAAACGGAAUAAAACUUUCGCGAUGA